GACGAACGCUGGCGGCGUGCCUAAUACAUGCAAGUCGAACGAGAGCGCCCGGUGUUUGCACUGGUCAAUCUAGUGGCGAACGGGUGAGUAACACGUGGGUAACCUGCCCAUCAGAGGGGGAUAACAUCCGGAAACGUAUGCUACAACCGCAUAGGUCUUCGAGCCGCAUGGCUUGAAGAGGACAAGAGGCGCAAGCUUCUGCUGAUGGCUGGACCCGCGGUGCAUUAGCUAGUUGGUGAGGUAACGGCUCACCAAGGCCGUGAUGCAUAGCCGGCCUGAGAGGGUGAUCGGCCACAUUGGGACUGAGACACGGCCCAGACUCCUACGGGAGGCAGCAGUAGGGAAUCUUCCGCAAAGGACGCAAGUCUGACGGAGCAACGCCGCGUGAGUGAAGAAGGUUUUCGGAUCGUAAAGCUCUGUUGUUAGAGAAGAACAAGUGCUAUAUUAACUGUUAGCGCCUUGACGGUAUCUAACCAGAAAGCCACGGCUAACUACGUG
rnacentral:rRNA from 1 species